UACGAAGGGGGCUAGCGUUGCUCGGAAUCACUGGGCGUAAAGGGUGCGUAGGCGGGUCUUUACGUCCGGGGUGAAAUCCUGGAGCUCAACUCCAGAACUGCCUUUGAUACUGGCGAUCUUGAGUCCGGGAGAGGUGAGUGGAACUGCGAGUGUAGAGGUGAAAUUCGUAGAUAUUCGCAAGAACACCAGUGGCGAAGGCGGCUCACUGGCCCGGUACUGACGCUGAGGUGCGAAAGCGUGGGGAGCAAACAGG
rnacentral:rRNA from 1 species